ACAACUCUUCUCCUAUCUCUUCUCUAUCUGCAUUUUCUCCACUCACAAAAAACUACAGACGAUAUGGAGCUUUCUCACCACUAGGGAACAAAGGCCCAAGGUGCUUAAUGAUUUGUGAGUCGCACCCCACACUAACACUUGAGAAAUCUCCUUCAACAGAUUGGUGUGAUUCAUUUGGACUUUGUCCAGAGCUUCAAAGAUUCAUCAUCUGCAUACUAAGUUUGACAUGCAAAUGCUUAAGGUGUGAAUGUAGUUAAAGUGCCUUCGGAUGGUAGGAUUUCAAAAAAUUAAACAGUGUAAUACUUCUAUCUAGUUUUUAAAUUGUAUUAGUUUAUUGUUUGAGGUCCACGAGAAAAGAAGACGCAGUUUGAAGUAAAAAACAUUGAUUAACUGUGUUGUAUUUCUCGUGGUUAAUCCAGUGUUCGUCUAAGCUAUUACGAGGUCUAAAGCAAAAUGAAUUUUAUUUAAAAUUUAUUUUUUGUAUUUUUU
rnacentral:lncRNA from 1 species